ACUCUUACCUGGCUCCAGUUACUUGAGGUCCGUGAGGGAGGUUAUUUUAUUGCAUUAGAGCAGAUGGACAGAGUGGCUGGGGACACAUCCAGACAAGAGCUGCCAUGUGGUAGAGGAGAAAAAGGUGGAAAUUUGGUAAUUGAGAAUAAGGUUGGGGAAGGCGGUACCUGCCUUGAGGGAACCACUUGGUCAGUGUGUCUUCCUUGCCCUGUCCUGGUGGAGUCAAGGUGCUGUAGUUGAAUGGCUGAUGCUCGCACUUGCACAGCAUCUUAUACAUUAACCGCACUGUUGUUCUGUUGCAGAUGUGAAAAAAGUGCCCUUCUGAAACUACACUAAUCGCAGCAUGCAGUAUGCAGAGUCUGACCUGGCCAGGAAAUGGGAUACCCGCUGGCCGUUUUCUGCCUACAGGAGAUAUGGACACCCGUCUGGCUGCAUCACGCCACAUCGACGUACCUGCAGGAAUGUCAUCUAUGAAUGUCAUACAAGAUGGUGUCAAAAACUGUGUUGAAAUCCCUGUACAUAGCAUCUUCUCUGGGACAUGGGGAGGAUUCUUGGAGAAAACUGCUGAAUGCUCUGGGCCUGCAAGUCCAGAUCUCCUCCAUAAUGAAAGUCAUCAAGCCCAGCUAAUGCAAGAAUUAACUUCCUAAUCUGUUAUCUCCUUCCCUUGUGUCACUGAAGAUUUCUCACUUCUGCCACUGGAGGAAAUGGGGGUAGCUCCCUUUUGAGUAAAGGCUGUAGCAAAAAUAGCCUCAUGCCUCUUGACAGCAUUUCUGCCCCAUGAAGCGCUGGAGCACCCCUCACCAUCGCCCUCCAGUACGGGCAGCGUCUCCGGGAGCGGUCGCGGGUGUCUCGAGUUCCCUGAGGUUGUGGCUUGUUUGGGGCCCAGACCCUCCAACUUCGUGCUUAAUUUCCUCUGCUGUUCUCACCUGUCAAUCCCAAUAACUGGAAGUAUUUCUCCUUUCUUUUCACUUCUGUCCUAUGCUUGAUGUCAAUGCAAAGCUUCUAGUUUUGAAAAGUUGGUCUGUUACUAAAUUCCUCCUGCCGCUUUCAUCAUCAGAAGAGUUUUCAGUUGUUUAAGUCACCAUGAGUUCUCUCUCACAUCUGUGUAGAUUUCCCUUCCAUGGGCUCUUCCUCACCAAUUUUACCAGUUUAUGAAGCAGCUGGAUUUUUUCUUGUUUUUCUUCCCUUUUUGGCCAGAAUGAAAUCUAGAAAACCUCCAGCUCUAAGGGUUUUGUUUGUCUGUUUUACCUUUUGGAUAAGAGCUGUUCUGCCAAUGCAGUCAUAAAACUUGCCAAGCAAUCAGUGAUUUACAAGAUCCCUGUCAGGCAAUUCUGAGUAGCUAACAUUCCUUGCUGCCACCAAAUACUGUUUUUUUGGAUGAUAUCGUGAACGACUCGUUAAAAUGACUGGUCUGUUUUCUCUUCCUAGCUGAAUUUCUGUACGGCUCUGCUCUAAUGGAACCCAUUUUUCCUUCUUUAAAUCUUAUUCAAAGAUUAUUUCCUCUUGCAGUCUCAUACUCGGUGAGUGUACCUGUGCUUUUGAGAUCCUCCUUGUUUGCCCUUCCUGAACAAGCUAUACAGUUGGAAUUAAUAUUCUAGACAUAAGUUAUCCCAACAAGCCUGUUAUGCCAAUUAAAUCAGAAUUUUG
rnacentral:lncRNA from 1 species